rnacentral:rRNA from 1 species
GAUAUGACGUGCUUGCACUGAUUUGACGAUGGAUUACCAGUGAGUGGCGGACGGGUGAGUAACACGUAGGCAACCUGCCCAAGAGCGGGGGAUAACAUUUGGAAACAAGUGCUAAUACCGCAUAAGAUUGAUGACCACAUGGUCAUCAAUUUAAAGAUGGUUUCGGCUAUCACUCUUGGAUGGGCCUGCGGUGCAUUAGCUAGUUGGUAAGGUAACGGCUUACCAAGGCAGUGAUGCAUAGCCGAGUUGAGAGACUGAUCGGCCACAAUGGGACUGAGACACGGUCCAUACUCCUACGGGAGGCAGCAGUAGGGAAUCUUCCACAAUGGGCGCAAGCCUGAUGGAGCGACACCGCGUGAGUGAAGAAGGGUUUCGGCUCGUAAAGCUCUGUUGUUGAAGAAGAACGUGCGUGAGAGUAACUGUUCAUGCAGUGACGGUAUUCAACCAGAAAGUCACGGCUAACUACGUG